rnacentral:rRNA from 1 species
CCAUAGACCCUGGUUUAUGGUGGGCCAUUGUUGAGAUACCACUCUUCUUUAUUCGGGUAGCUAACUAGCCUAAGUUAUCCUUAGGUAGGACAAUGUCUGGUGGGUAGUUUGACUGGGGCGGUCGCCUCCCAAAAUGUAACGGAGGCUUACAAAGGUUGGCUCAGAACGGUUGGAAAUCGUUCGUAGAGUAUAAAGGCAUAAGCCAGCUUAACUGCGAGACAUACACGUCAAGCAGAGACGAAAGUCGGUCUUAGUGAUCCGGUGGUUCUGUGUGGAAGGGCCAU